GACGAACGCUGGCGGCGUGCUUAACACAUGCAAGUCGAACGGAAAGGCCCUGCUUUUGUGGGGUGCUCGAGUGGCGAACGGGUGAGUAACACGUGAGUAACCUGCCCUUGACUUUGGGAUAACUUCAGGAAACUGGGGCUAAUACCGGAUAGGAGCUCCUGCUGCAUGGUGGGGGUUGGAAAGUUUCGGCGGUUGGGGAUGGUCUCGCGGCUUAUCAGCUUGUUGGUGGGGUAUUGGCUUACCAAGGCUUUGACGGGUAGCCGGCCUGAGAGGGUGGACGGCCACAAUGGGACUGAGAGACGGCCCAGACGCCUACGGGGGGCAGCAGGGGGGAAUAUUGCACAAUGGGCGGAAGCCUGGUGCGGCAACGCCGGGGGCGGGAAGACGGCCUUCGGGGUGUGAACCGCUUUCGCCUGUGACGAAGCGUGAGUGACGGUAAUGGGUAAAGAAGCACCGGCUAACUACGUG
rnacentral:rRNA from 1 species